rnacentral:lncRNA from 1 species
UGAAAAGACAAUCUUUUCUCUAGCAUAUGCUUUUCACUCCUUUGUCAAAUAUCAGAAGCCUGCAUGUGCCUGGGUUUGUUUCUGCACCCUCCAUUCUGUUCCAUUGAUCUACGUGUCUAUUAUGGAGCCAGUGCAUAGUGCCUCACACAAGCUACUGACACCGUUCUACACUUCUAUGAGUCAGAGACAUGAAGAAAAUGUGUUUUGUAGCCAAGAUCAAGACUAUAAUUUACCCCAGACAAUGCUCACUUCCCCAGAGUUGCAGUGGAGAGACAAUUCCAGCUUGUUUCUAGGCAUCAACUCAGAUCCCAUCUUGACCAGUUCCUGAGGCUCUGUCAGCUAAAGGACCACUGCGAAGGGAUUCCCUUCUCAUUCCAUUUCCACGAAUACAAGGUAAGGAGGACUACAACUUCUUCUUAGUUACCCAGUGCUAACAACGACCAUAAUAAGGCUAGUAAUGUUUAGUAUAUAUUGUGACUUACUUUGUGAUAAGUGUAGUAAACUUUACCUGGACUAUUUCCUGGAAGCAAUACAGACUCUGUUAAAU